GAUGAACGCUGGCGGCGUGCCUAAUACAUGCAAGUCGAGCGAACAGACGAGGAGCUUGCUCCUCUGACGUUAGCGGCGGACGGGUGAGUAACAUGUGGAUAACCUACCUAUAAGACUGGGAUAACUUCGGGAAACCGGAGCUAAUACCGGAUAAUAUAUUGAACCGCAUGGUUCAAUAGUGAAAGACGGUUUUGCUGUCACUUAUAGCUGGAUCCGCGCCGCAUUAGCUAGUUGGUAAGGUAACGGCUUACCAAGGCAACGAUGCGUAGCCGACCUGAGAGGGUGAUCGGCCACACUGGAACUGAGACACGGUCCAGACUCCUACGGGAGGCAGCAGUAGGGAAUCUUCCGCAAUGGGCGAAAGCUUGACGGAGCAACGCCGCGUGAGUGAUGAAGGUCUUCGGAUCGUAAAACUCUGUUAUUAGGGAAGAACAAAUGUGUAAGUAACUAUGCACGUCUUGACGGUACCUAAUCAGAAAGCCACGGCUAACUACGUG
rnacentral:rRNA from 1 species